GACGAACGCUGGCGGCGUGCCUAAUACAUGCAAGUUGAGCGCUGAAGGUUGGUACUUGUACCGACUGGAUGAGCAGCGAACGGGUGAGUAACGCGUGGGGAAUCUGCCUUUGAGCGGGGGACAACAUGUGGAAACGAAUGCUAAUACCGCAUAAAAACUUUAAACACAAGUUUUAAGUUUGAGAGAUGCAAUUGCAUCACUCAAAGAUGAUCCCGCGUUGUAUUAGCUAGUUGGUGAGGUAAAGGCGCACCAAGGCGAUGAUACAUAGCCGACCUGAGAGGGUGAUCGGCCACAUUGGGACUGAGACACGGCCCAAACUCCUACGGGAGGCAGCAGUAGGGAAUCUUCGGCAAUGGACGAAAGUCUGACCGAGCAACGCCGCGUGAGUGAAGAAGGUAUUCGGAUCGUAAAACUCUGUUGGUAGAGAAGAACGUUGGUGAGAGUGGAAGGCUCAUCAAGUGACGGUAACUACCCAGAAAGGGACGGCUAACUACGUGCCAGCCGCCGCAGUAA
rnacentral:rRNA from 1 species